GACGAACGCUGGCGGCGUGCUUAACACAUGCAAGUCGAACGGAAAGGCUCCAGCUUGCUGGAGUACUCGAGUGGCGAACGGGUGAGUAACACGUGGGUAAUCUGCCCUGCACUCUGGGAUAAGCCUGGGAAACUGGGUCUAAUACUGGAUAUGACUUUUCUCCUUAUGGGGUUUGGUGGAAAGUUUUUCGGUGUAGGAUGAGCCCGCGGCCUACCAGCUUGUUGGUGGGGUGAUGGCCUACCAAGGCGACGACGGGUAGCCGGCCUGAGAGGGUGAUCGGCCACAUUGGGACUGAGAUACGGCCCAGACUCCUACGGGAGGCAGCAGUGGGGAAUAUUGCACAAUGGGCGGAAGCCUGAUGCAGCGACGCCGCGUGAGGGAUGACGGCCUUCGGGUUGUAAACCUCUUUCAGCAGGGACGAAGCGUAAGUGACGGUACCUGCAGAAGAAGCACCGGCUAACUAUGUG
rnacentral:rRNA from 1 species